GUUACUAAAGUGGAAACAUGCAGACCCUCAAUUGUCCUGUGGAGUCAAAGAUUAUUGUGUCCCGUUUUUUUUGGUAAUUAGCUUUCAUUUUAUCUAUCCACAACAUCCGUACUAACUUUAAUAUUAAUUCAGCCUUUUCAGUAUUUUAAAAAGUUGGCUCUUAAACUGUCAUUAUCAUUAUUAUAGUUUGGAUUUUCUACAUUCACUUGGACCAGGGACAGAAUCAUAAGGACUUCCUUAAAAAUAAACAUACAGAAAUAAUGCCUCUCAAUCCUUUACUUAUGUCUGACUAUCAGUAGAAAAUGGCCCUCUUUCUGGAUUUUGGUAUUGUGCUGUGUUCAGGGUGUUUCUGAUGUGUAGACGUCUUGCAGUCUACCAUUGAGGGUCUGAUAUGGUUAAGGAUAUGAUAAGGUUGCUUUGCAGCAGGAAGUGCAGCGUUGUUAUUGAUUUUUAGAUAAGAUAAGAUAAACUUUAUUGUCCUUCUGGUUAAAUCUUCUCUUGGCUCCAAGCUGCUGCUUCACACCAAACACUGGGACUGGCUUACUGCACAUCCAUCACUGCACUUAGGAAUAAACGUGACUCAAUUGACCUGCUGAGCAUGAGACAGAACUUCUAAAUAGAUAAUAAAAGUAACGUACUUUCAAUCGUUAAACCAGGUUGGCAAGUAAGAUGAUUAAUAGUCAAAACUCAAUGCCACACUUCCUAAUAAAAAUGAUUAAAUGCUACUGAUGGUAAAUAUCUUCAUCAAGGAGUAUGGAAUUGUUAAUUAAUUACAGCCCUGGGGUCGUUGACCUGAAGGAAUAAAGCUCGAACAAUAAACACAACUUACAUUAAAAACAUAAAGUGCAGUAUAAAGAGGA